GGUCCCUUAGUCUAGUGGUAAGAUGUAUGCUUAGGGAGCGUAAGGUCCCGAGUUCAAUUCUCGGAAUCCCCA
rnacentral:tRNA from 1 species